GCACCGUUGGCCGAGUGGUUUAGGCACUAGUCUUCCAAACUAGAUAUGUGAGUUCAAUUCUCACACGGUGCUCCA
rnacentral:tRNA from 1 species